CCUACGGGGGGCAGCAGUGAGGAAUAUUGGUCAAUGGGCGCGAGCCUGAACCAGCCAAGUCGCGUGAGGGAGGACGGCCCUACGGGUUGUAAACCUCUUUUGCCGGGGAGCAACGGGCGUCACGUGUGGCGCCACUGAGAGUACCCGGAGAAAAAGCAUCGGCUAACUCCGUGCCAGCAGCCGCGGUAAUACGGAGGAUGCGAGCGUUAUCCGGAUUUAUUGGGUUUAAAGGGUGCGUAGGCGGAUCGUUAAGUCAGUGGUCAAAUUGAGGGGCUCAACCCCUUCCCGCCAUUGAAACUGGCGCUCUUGAGUAUCGGAGAGGCAGGCGGAAUUCCUAGUGUAGCGGUGAAAUGCGUAGAUAUUAGGAGGAACACCAGUGGCGAAGGCGGCCUGCUGGACGACAACUGACGGUGAGGCGCGAAAGCGUGGGGAGCAAACAGGAUUAGAUACCCCUGUAGUC
rnacentral:rRNA from 1 species